rnacentral:lncRNA from 1 species
GUUCCCCAGGGACUGAAGGAGCUAGUACGAAACAGCCUUUCAUGGAAUGAAAGUCCAAGAAAGCUACACAAUUGCAGGAGUCUUAGAGUCGACUGCAAAAGGAGAGUGGCACUCAGCUAAUUAAGUGCUGAAGGCGGCAGAGCCGUUCCUGACUUUGUGGCCCUGUGGUCUUGGCAAGCAGGGUUGGAGUUCAAGCCCUCCUCAUCCCGACAACUUUGCCAUCAGUCCCCGCUGCAGAGCUGCCAGUCGGCGCUUCCAGGGAGUAUCCGAACUCUGCCUUGAGACAGUGAAGAAGAAUCACGGCCAGCUCACCCGCCUCUACAGUAGAAGCUCUCAUUCAAGGUGUGAACUUUCUCACAGUCUCAGAGGUGUCCUGUUAUUUACAAAAUAAUCCAAGAAAAUCCAUCCAAGGCUAAUGUAGAAGUAAAGCAUCAAGGUUUCCAGUCCUACUCAAAUGUCCGAUGAUCCUAAUGAAGAAAGGAUGGGUGGCAAGGGGAAGAGCUGAUACUCUUCCUGGGUUGUCCCUGAAUCUUGAAGAGGCAGGAGAGGUAUACUAAUUUAAAUAGCAUUCUUCAAUGGGAGCUCAU